rnacentral:rRNA from 1 species
AUUGAACGCUAGCGGGAUGCCUUACACAUGCAAGUCGAACGGAGUGGCGAACGGGCGAGUAAUUCAUCGGAACGUGCCCAGUAGCGGGGGAUAAAUACGCGAAAGAGAAGCUAAUAACGCAUACUUUUGGAGCGGCCGAUAUCGGAUUAGCUAGUUGGUGGGGUAACGGCUCACCAAGGCGACGAUCCGUAGCGGGUUUGAGGGGACGACCAGCCACACUGGGACUGAGACACGGCCCAGACUCCGACGGUAGGCAGCAGUGGGGAAUUUUGGACAAGGGUGGAAACCCUGAUCCAGCCAUCCCGCGUGUGCGAUGAAGGCCUUCGGGUUGUAAAGCACUUUUGGCAGGAAAGCGGUACCUGCAGAAUAAGCACCGGCUAACUACGUGCCAGCAGCCGCGGUAAUAC